rnacentral:rRNA from 1 species
GACGAACGCUGGCGGCGUGCUUAACACAUGCAAGUCGAACGAGUGGCGAACGGGUGAGUAAUACGUGAGUAACCUGCCCUCUUUUGGGAUAAGACUUGGAAACGGGGUCUAAUACCGGAUAAAGGGGGAUGGGCUCGCGGCCUAUCAGCUUGUUGGUGGGGUGAUGGCCUACCAAGGCGGUGACGGGUAGCCGGCCUGAGAGGGUGACCGGGCACAUUGGGACUAAGAAACGGCCCAGGCGCCUACGGGGGGGAGCAGUGGGGGAUAUUGCACAAUGGGUGAAAGCCUGAUGCAGCGAGGCCGCGGGGGGGAUGAAGGCUUUAGGGUUGUAAACCUCUUUCGCUAUAGAACGGGUAGGUGGAGAAGAAGCGCCGGCUAACUACGUGCCAGCAGCCGCGGUAAUUC